UACGUAGGGUGCAAGCGUUGUCCGGAAUUAUUGGGCGUAAAGAGCUCGUAGGCGGUUUGUCGCGUCGAAUGUGAAAACCCGGGGCUCAACCCCGGGCCUGCAUUCGAUACGGGCAGACUAGAGUUCGGUAGGGGAGUCUGGAAUUCCUGGUGUAGCGGUGAAAUGCGCAGAUAUCAGGAGGAAUACCGGUGGCGAAGGCGGCAUCCUGGACCGGCAUUGACGCUGAGGAGCAAAAGCCAGGGGAGCAAACGGG
rnacentral:rRNA from 1 species